rnacentral:rRNA from 1 species
UGAGGAAUAUUGGGCAAUGCCCGCAAGGGUGACCCAGCAACGCCGCGUGGAGGAUGAAUGUCGUAAGAUUGUAAACUCCUGUUAGAGGGGAAGAAUAGUACCGGUUGGACCGGUAUAUGACUGUACCCUCAGAGAAAGCCCCGGCUAACUACGUGCCAGCAGCCGCGGUAAUACGUAGGGGGCAAGCGUUGUCCGGACUUACUGGGUGUAAAGGGCGCGCAGGCGGGAUAAAAAGUCAGUGGUGAAAUCCUACAGCUUAACUGUAGAACUGCCUUUGAUACUUUUAUUCUUGAGUUCGGGAGAGGGAGACGGAAUUCCAGGUGUAGUGGUGAAAUACGUAGAUAUCUGGAAGAACACCAGUUGCGAAGGCGGUCUCUUGGUCCGACACUGACGCUGAGGCGCGAAAGCGUGGGGAG